GUUACAGAAAUGCUAGAAACCUGGUCAUCAGACACUAAUUCUCCACAUCUCAAAACCCACAAUGCUGCACAGACUUCUGUGCUGUGCCUUCACCUUAGAGUGCAAGAGAAAACCUGCCCUUCACCAAGGUAUUUUUUUCUAGACUUUCAGGGAUGUGUCAUCAGGGAUGUCCUGUGCAGGCUGGCCUUCCCAAGUCAGUCCAUCCUGGGGUGUAACAUGCUCUGUACGCUUCCCACAGAGCUGUGCUUACCCUGGUGAUGAUCCUGCCACUGCACCUACCUCUCAGCCACUGCUGGUUUUGGGACAACCAAAAAAUUCCUCAGCCUUGACUGCCACAGGCAUUUCCUUUCUCUCUCUCUCUCUGCAU